rnacentral:tRNA from 1 species
GCCUGCGUGGUGUAGUGGUAGCACAAGAGCUUCCAAACCUCUUAGUUCGGGUUCGAUUCCUGCCGCAGGUGC